AGUCGGAGAUGAGGUCUAGCUCCCGUAGGAGUCUGGACGAAGUCUUCCUGUAGUUGAAGUCGUGGGAGGAGUCCGGCUCUCAUAGGAGUCUGGACGAAGCCUUUCUGCAGCCAGAGUCGGGGACGAGGUCCGGCUCCCAUAGGAGUCCGGGCGAAGUCUUCUUGCAAUUGAAGUCAUGGGCGGAGUUCGACUCCCGUAGGAGUCC
rnacentral:lncRNA from 1 species